UACGUAGGGGGCAAGCGUUGUCCGGAAUCAUUGGGCGUAAAGAGCGUGUAGGCGGCCCGGUAAGUCCGCCGUGAAAGUCCAGGGCUCAACCCUGGAAUGCCGGUGGAAACUGUCGGGCUGGAGUCCGGAAGAGGCGAGUGGAAUUCCUGGUGUAGCGGUGAAAUGCGCAGAUAUCAGGAGGAACACCAAUGGCGAAGGCAGAUCUCUGGGCCGUAACUGACGCUGAGGAGCGAAAGCAUGGGGAGCGAACAGG
rnacentral:rRNA from 1 species